rnacentral:rRNA from 1 species
ACUCCUACGGGAGGCAGCAGUGGGAAUAUUGGACAAAUGGGGAACCGUACUCAGCCAUGCCGCGUGUGUGAAGAAGGCCUUCGGGUUGUAAAAGCACUUUCAGUAGGGAGGAAGGUAGUGUAGUUAACACCUGCAUUAUUUGACGUUACCUACAGAAGAAGCACCGGCUAACUCCGUGCCAGCAGCCGCGGUAAUACGGAGGGUGCGAGCGUUAAUCGGAAUUACUGGGCGUAAAGCGCAUGCAGGCGGCCUGUUAAGUCAGAUGUGAAAGCCC